ACAAAAGACGUCCUGACAGCUCUUUGUAAGCUCUACGCCAUUGAUGGAAUCAUUGAGAACUUGGGAGAAUUCAUAGAGGAUGGGUUCUUCAGUCCUCAUCAAGUGUCCUUUCUGAAGAACAAACUGGCCGACCUGCUAGCUGAGAUUCGACCAAAUGCCGUGGCCCUCGUGGACGCUUUUGACUACCCGGACAAAACCCUGGACAGCUGUCUGGGUCGGUAUGACGGCCAGGUGUACCCAGCCCUGUAUGAGUACGCCAAAAACUCGCCAUUCAACGAGCAAGAGGUUCUGGAUUCUUAUCACAAGUUUAUCAAGCCAGCCCAGACUGAACAAAGCCAACGGGCCCCAAUGGCGCGACUUUAAGGUUCCAUCUCAAGGAGAUGAACAGUUUAAAGUUUGCAUCAAACAUGCAUGUAUUAAGGGUACAGCAAUCAAUGAUAGCCCCUUUCAUUGCUGAUACGGAUAUACACUUGCAUAUACAGUGUCAGAAAAAGGGAUUUACUAAUUAGCGUAAUUGAUUGAAUUUUAUCAUUCCAAUGAAAGUUAUGGACAACACCCUCUGCACGAAGCUAGUCAGUGUAGCCAUUGCAAUCAAUGCAGUACAAGUUUGAAUUCAAUUAGUUACUUUAAUAUGUAUUUUGCUCAAAAUGGCACUUUUGGGGCUUUUUAACAAACAUUUUAUGCAAUGUGGUCUUAUCAAACCUAUUCAAGUAAAACAUGAAUAAAAUUAUUGUGGAAUUAUUUUUUUUAUUACAUGUAGAUAUGAACAAACUAAAAGUGAUUGUAAUUAAUUCAAAACAAUGAACAUUAAUAUAUAGGCUGUAAUAUUUUUACAAUGUAUUUUGGGUCAUCACAAUUACAUUAUUUGUUUAAUUACAGUAUUAAUAUUAUGUCCAUUUAUUAAUUAAAUUGUUCAUGGUGAUCUUAUAACAUAAUGGAGUUAUCAGAAAUCCAGUGAUUUUUUUGUGUAAAAAUGUUUGUAAUCGUCGGUUUCUCAUUGAAAAAUAACACACA
rnacentral:misc_RNA from 1 species